UAAAGGCCCACCAAGGCGACGAUCCUUAGCUGGUCUGAGAGGAUGAUCAGCCACACUGGAACUGAGACACGGUCCAGACUCCUACGGGAGGCAGCAUGGGGAAUAUUGCGCAAUGGGCGAAAGCCUGACGGCAGCCAUGCCGCGUGUGUGAAGAAGGCCUUAGGGUUGUAAAGCACUUUCCAAUUGGGAAGAAAAGUUUGUCGUUAAUAGCGCCAAGCUCUGACAUUACCUUUUAGAAGAAGCACCGGCUUAACUCCGUGCCAGCAGCCGCGGUAA
rnacentral:rRNA from 1 species